rnacentral:rRNA from 1 species
GGGCCCGCACAAGCGGUGGAGCAUGUGGUUUAAUUCGAUGAUACGCGAGGAACCUUACCAGGGCUUAAAUGUAGAACGACCGAUUUGGAAACAAGUCUUCUCUUUGAGCGGUCUACAAGGUGCUGCAUGGUUGUCGUCAGCUCGUGCCGUGAGGUGUCGGGUUAAGUCCCUUAACGAGCGCAACCCCUAUCUCUAGUUGCCAGCGGAUAAUGCCGGGGACUCUAGAGAAACUGCCCGUGCAAACGGUGAGGAAGGUGGGGAUGACGUCAAAUCAUCACGGCCCUUACGUCCUGGGCUACACACGUGCUACAAUGGUCGGUACAGAGGGCAGCUACCACGUGAGUGGAUGCAAAUCUCGAAAGCCGAUCUCAGUUCGGAUCGGAGUCUGCAACUCGACUCUAUG